GUCAUCUGGUUUUGGUGUUAAUCUAAUGCUGUGUAAUCUUACCAUCGGUGUGCAUGUGUAACAGGGGAAAGCCUGGACACUGGGAAAAGCUUCCUGCUAUACUUUAAACAAAGACGGGACUAAUGGACCGUGACUGUGAAUGUGGGGGAAUGCAUUACACAAGCCAAGAGGCAUUAAUUCUGAUGGGUUGGUUUAAUGACGCAAAGUAUAUUAAUGAGCUCAAAGAGACAAGAAGGAAAAGAAUGAGGAAUUGGAAGAAAGAAGCUCCCUCCACCCACCUACCUAGCCGCAGCAUGUUUUCCUGCAAUCUACAAGCAGCGAGGGCCUGUAAGGGGAUUUGAACUACUGUGAACCUCUUAAGAAACUUCCCCGCCCAGAGGGAGUUUGUAGCCCAUGCUUGUGAGAGUGUAGGUCUUUGUAUCCCCU